CUGCCGGCGACCGGCGCACGGGUGAGUAACACGUAUGCAACCUGCCCUCCGCAGGGGGAUAACCCGGAGAAAUCCGGACUAAUACCGCGUGGUACACCAGUGGGGCAUCCCACGGGUGUUAAAAGGAAGCGAUUCCGGCGGAGGAUGGGCAUGCGGCGCAUUAGCUUGUUGGCGGGGUAACGGCCCACCAAGGCGACGAUGCGUAGGGGUUCUGAGAGGAAGGCCCCCCACACUGGGACUGAGACACGGCCCAGACUCCUACGGGAGGCAGCAG
rnacentral:rRNA from 1 species